rnacentral:tRNA from 1 species
UGGGGCGUCGUCAAGCGGUAAGACACAGGACUUUGAUUCCUGCAUUCGGAGGUUCGAUCCCUCCCGCCCCAGCCA